UCGAACGGAAUCUUUCGGGAUUUAGUGGCGGACGGGUGAGUAACGCGUGAGAAUCUGCCUUCAGGUUCGGGACAACAGCUGGAAACGGCUGCUAAUACCGGAUGUGCCGAGAGGUGAAAGCUUUAGUGCCUGGAGAUGAGCUCGCGUCUGAUUAGCUAGUAGGAGUGGUAACGGCACCCCUAGGCGACGAUCAGUAGCUGGUCUGAGAGGAUGAUCAGCCACACUGGGACUGAGACACGGCCCAGACUCCUACGGGAGGCAGCAGUGGGGAAUUUUCCGCAAUGGGCGCAAGCCUGACGGAGCAAGACCGCGUGAGGGAAGAAGGUCUGUGGAUUGUAAACCUCUUUUGAUAGGGAAGAAGAUAGUGACGGUACCUAUCGAAUCAGCCUCGGCUAACUCCGUGCCAGCAGCCGCGGUAAUACGGAGGAGGCAAGCGUUAUCCGGAAUUAUUGGGCGUAAAGAGUCCGUAGGUGGGUGACCAAGUCAGUUGUUAAAUAGUGAAGCUUAACUUCAUAGAGGCGACUGAAACUGGUCAUCUAGAGUGUGGUAGGGGUAGAGGGAAUUUCCAGCGUAGCGGUGAAAUGCGUAGAUAUUGGAAAGAACACCGGUGGCGAAAGCGCUCUACUGGGCCUGCACUGACACUGAGGGACGAAAGCUAGGGGAGCGAAAGGGAUUAGAUACCCCUGUAGUCCUAGCCGUAAACGAUGGAUACUAGGCGUUGCCCGUAUCGACCCGAGCCGUGCCGAAGC
rnacentral:rRNA from 1 species